rnacentral:rRNA from 1 species
CCUACGGGGGGCAGCAGUGGGGAAUAUUGCACAAUGGGGGAAACCCUGAUGCAGCGACGCCGCGUGAGUGAAGAAGUAUUUCGGUAUGUAAAGCUCUAUCAGCAGGGAAGAAAAUGACAGUACCUGAACAAGAAGCCCCGGCUAACUACGUGCCAGCAGCCGCGGUAAUACGUAGGGGGCGAGCGUUAUCCGGAUUUACUGGGUGUAAAGGGAGCGUAGGCGGCAGCGGAAGUCUGGAGUGAAAGGCCGGGGCUCAACCCCGGCACGGCUUUUGAAACUGUGCGGCUAGAGUGCAGGAGAGGUAGGCGGAAUUCCUGGUGUAGCGGUGAAAUGCGUAGAUAUUAGGAGGAACACCGGUGGCGAAGGCGGCUUACUGGACUGUAACUGACGUUGAGGCUCGAAGGCGUGGGGAGCGAACAGGAUUAGAUACCCCAGUAGUC